rnacentral:lncRNA from 1 species
AUUCCAUUCCAUUCCAUUCCAUUCCAUUCCAUUCCAUUCCAAUCCAUUCCAUUCCACUCCACUCCGGUUGAUUCCAUUCCAUUCCAUUCCAUUCCAUUCCGUUCCGUUCCGUUCCGUUCCAUUCCAUUCCAUUCCAUACCAUUCCACUCGGGUUGAUUCCAUACCAUUCCAUUCCAUUCCACUCGGGUUGAUUCCAUUCCAUUCCAUUCCAUUCCAUUCCAUUCCAUUCCAUUCCAUUCGUGUUUAUUCCAUUCCAUUCCAUUCCAUUCCAUUCCAUUCCAUUCCAUUCCAUUCCAUUAGUUUCUAAUCGGGUGAUUCCAAUCCAUUCCAUUAUAUUCAAG